GAGCGCCCCGCAAGGGGAGCGGCAGACGGGAGAGUAACACGUGGGAACGUGCCCUUUGGUUCGGAACAACACAGGGAAACUUGUGCUAAUACCGGAUAAGUCCGUAAGGAGAAAGAUUUAUCGCCAAAGGAUCGGCCCGCGUCUGAUUAGCUUGUUGGUGAGGUAACGGCUCACCAAGGCGACGAUCAGUAGCUGGUCUGAGAGGAUGAUCAGCCUCACUGGGACUGAGACACGGCCCAGACUCCUACGGGAGGCAGCAGUGGGGAAUAUUGGACAAUGGGCGCAAGCCUGAUCCAGCCAUGCCGCGUGGAUGAUGAAGGCCUUAGGGUUGUAAAGUCCUUUCGGCGGGGAAGAUAAUGACGGUACCCGCAGAAGAAGCCCCGGCUAACUUCGUGCCAGCAGCCGCGGUAAUACGAAGGGGGCUAGC
rnacentral:rRNA from 1 species